GGCACAGAUACACAAACCAAGGGUCACACCAAAAUUCACACACCUCACACACCAAAAUUUCACUUUCACCAACAGUGAAUGUUUAAUAAUGUAUGUUCUCAUCCCUGAGCUGAAAGAUGUCAAGCUGCCAGCCUACGUUUACUUUGGGAGGCCAAAGUAAUGCAGUAUUUUUGUGCUAGCUACACAAAUCUUCCCAGGUUUGAGUCCUCACAGGUGAGCAACCCAGCUGCUACUGCUGUGAGACGUGAUGCAGAAGGGGAAAGACCACAGAGGUGAGCUGGGCAGUGAAGUGCCUUCCAGUCCCCAAUGGCUGCAGCCUGGCCGUCCUCCCCUCUGCCAGAGCCCUUGGAUUUGCCCUUCAAAGAAGCACCAACUCCCUCUGCCUUCAGUGCCGUCUCCCACCAAGAAUUACCACCUCACUGCAGUUCCCAAGCGAGGAAAGGGCAGGAGCAAAGCACGGUGAAACAUGGAACCUAUUGGAGGCACGAGAAGCCCACAGUCCUGUGCAGCUCUCCGCCUUCAGUGCUGGGCACACCACGUUUCUCUCUUAAUGAGGCGUUAAUCAUGCCUUUGGUGAUGGCGAGGAGCACUUCACUCUGCUGCAUGGAGAGAGCUGCUGGGGAAGACACUAUAAAUCUUCACUUUGUUUGUAGGGAUGUUGGCUUGCUUGUGCUCUCCUUCUGCCAGGAAACCCCUCUGCUCUUUGUGACAGAUUUUCUGUUUUGGCCUUUGUUUUUUUCUGGCUUAGCCAAGCUGAGAUGUCUCGUAACAGCAAGUAUCUCUGUGUGUAUUCACCUAAUGGAGUUCUUUUGUGCAUCUCUAUUGCUGUAGGCUAUGAAUAAGCAGUGUUUUAAUACAUUUUUUCUCACAUUAUCCCUGUAAAGGAGGGAACCGCUGUGGUCCCUGUUCUAAAGAUGGAACGCAAAGCACAAACGUUAAGUACCCAACGACCACAAAAAUGGGAGAGUAUGUUGGGAUUUACACAGAUUUCAGUUCUGUAAUACUGCAAAACACUGAGCCUAAAUGACAUCCAGGA
rnacentral:lncRNA from 1 species